rnacentral:rRNA from 1 species
UACAGAGGGGGCAAGCGUUGUUCGGAAUUACUGGGCGUAAAGGGCGCGUAGGCGGCCUUCUAAGUCGAACGUGAAAUCCCCGGGCUCAACCCGGGAACUGCGUCCGAUACUGGAAGGCUUGAAUCCGGGAGAGGGAUGUGGAAUUCCAGGUGUAGCGGUGAAAUGCGUAGAUAUCUGGAGGAACACCGGCGGCGAAGGCGGCUACCUGGACCGGUUCUGACGCUGAUGCGCGAAAGCGUGGGUAGCAAACAGG